rnacentral:rRNA from 1 species
AUUGAACGCUGGCGGCAUGCCUUACACAUGCAAGUCGAACGGCAGCACGGGUGCUUGCACCUGGUGGCGAGUGGCGAACGGGUGAGUAAUACAUCGGAACGUACCUUAUCGUGGGGGAUAACGCAGCGAAAGCUGUGCUAAUACCGCAUACGCCCUGAGGGGGAAAGCGGGGGAUCGAAAGACCUCGCGCGAUUAGAGCGGCCGAUGCCUGAUUAGCUUGUUGGUGGGGUAAAAGCCCACCAAGGCGACGAUCAGUAGCUGGUCUGAGAGGAUGAUCAGCCACACUGGGACUGAGACACGGCCCAGACUCCUACGGGAGGCAGCAGUGGGAAAUUUUGGACAAUGGGGGCAACCCUGAUCCAGCAAUGCCGCGUGAGUGAAGAAGGCCUUCGGGUUGUAAAGCUCUUUUGUCAGGGAAGAAACACCGGCUCUAACACAGUCCGGGAAUGACGGUACCUGAAGAAUAAGCACCGGCUAACUACGUGCCAGCAGCCGCCGUAA